GCAUCAGGUAUUAGUGGCAGACACGGAUAACCUUCACUAUUCACCGAUGACUAAUCAAGCAGAGAUUUCGAAUUAUUAACACAUGUUAGCGAUGGGAACAGCGCAAAUUGAGGAGACGGCAACGCAACUUGAUGAGAGACUGAGAAACUGAACUUCCAAGCAACGGAGCGGGAGCAUGCCAAUCAAGCCAGUGUUCUCACCAUGACGACCAUGACGUUGCAGCGCGUUUACGUAGUUACGCUGUACAUAGUAGGAGCUGUUGUGUAAGGUGUUUCAGUAAUUAAUUUGUUUCUCAAUAUGGCGUUGAGGGUUCUCAAGUAUAACUUCGGGAUGAUGAAGGCGUCGACAUAUGGUGGCAAGCACACUGCAGAUUUGACAAAAGUUAGUGUACUGCAGUCACCAGAUCAUAUGAGCUCUCUUUCAAGUGCAAGAGGAAUGCUGGCUGCCAUGAUGCAGAGUGCUUGUGCUGCUUCAAUUCAUUUAACAGGACUGAGCAAAGAAGCUUUGAGUCAGUGUUUCUGUUAGGUAGAUGCAGAAGAACCGAUACAGACAGUGUACAACGCACUAUUGAAGGAACACAUUUCUUAGAUAUUUGUAGCUGUUAACAGAUUAAGACGAACAGCAAACAUGUUUUUAGAAGAAAUAAAAAACUUUAUAAUCCCAAAUAGUAGGUUACUCUUUUGGUCAGAUAUUGUAAGAAACAGGUUAAGUGUUUGGUAUUGUCAAGUUAAACAGAAACCAUGUAAAUCAUGGAAUAAAUGAAUCCCUCCGUGGCCUUUAGUCCACAAACAAACUAUACCGACCGA